rnacentral:rRNA from 1 species
GACGAACGCUGGCGGCGUGCUUAACACAUGCAAGUCGAACGGAAAGGCCCUGCUUUUGUGGGGUGCUCGAGUGGCGAACGGGUGAGUAACACGUGAGUAACCUGCCCUUGACUUUGGGAUAACUUCAGGAAACUGGGGCUAAUACCGGAUAGGAGCUCCUGCUGCAUGGUGGGGGUUCGAAAGUUUCGGCGGUUGGGGAUGGACUCGCGGCUUAUCAGCUUGUUGGUGGGGUAGUGGCUUACCAAGGCUUUGACGGGUAGCCGGCCUGAGAGGGUGACCGGCCACAUUGGGACUGAGAGACGGCCCAGUCUCCUACGGGAGGCAGCAGGGGGGAAUAUGGCACAAUGGGCGGAAGCCUGAUGCAGCAACGCCGCGUGCGGGAUGACGGCCUUCGGGUUGUAAACCGCUGUCGCCUGUGACGAAGCGGGAGUGACGGUAAUGGGUAAAGAAGCACCGGCUAACUACGUG